AUAUAAAGAAAUGAUUUAUGAGAAGUGUUUCAUUAGUGACCACCACUGGAGUUGGGCAGUAAAGCAGAAGAGAUGCUACUGUAUCAAGAAUAUAUGCCAUAGGCUUGGCUCUGCACCUGAGUUUGUGUGAGCACACACUUACAACCUUCAGAAUGAGGCAGUUUUUCCUCUGUUUGUCCUUCAGGUAAUUCCACUACAUGUUUCACUCAUGGGGUUCACUAGCCUGGUCUGCUCUUGGAGCCAUCUUUGAAUAAAUUGGAGCAUCUCCACUAACAUCAACAGAGAUUAAGGUUUACAGCCAUUUGGGUGGAGUUAGCACGGUCCUGCCAUCCUCCAGAAAGCUGGUGUUGGAUACGAGGUCAUCUGUCACCACGAGACAGCCUGACAUCUCCUGAGGCUGCAUGGUUGGGAGAGAUGUGGACAGAAGAACAAGCUGUUCUGCUUCAGUUCACUGAAGCAAAUUUAUGAUGCAGGCACCAAAGCCAGCUCAGUCCUGAAAUGAAUCUGCUGCUUUACAAAAAGCAAAGGUGUUGGGGCUGUGCUCUGCUAUAGGGAAAUCCAGAAUGGGUGCAUUCAUUGUCUGCCCUCAGCAGUGCUUUAUCCAGGUGACCUCUGUCCCUUUUCCUGCUGAUGUACUCCACUUGCAGCAUCACUUGAAUAAUUUCAGUAUCCUGUCUGAGGAGUUCUCUUGCUGAAGUUUUCCCUUAUUUGCCUUUGUAUUGUCUCCCCCCACCUCUCUCUUUGUGGAUGAUGUCAAGAGAAGCUAUUUUCCUCUCUCUGUUGCAGUUGAUGCCGAUGCUUUUUCAGGAGCCCAAGGGAUGCUGAGAAAAAUGAGAAAAGUUACAGAAAAAGCACUUUUAUGUAAUGUAUCUCCAUGCUGGGUGGAGAUCUCUGGUGUGCCUGAUCCGAGGGGAAGAGGUUAUCCAUGCGCUGCUCAGCGAUGCUCUGUUCCCCUUUCCAUUGCUCUCUGUUCAGCACAUUCCUGGUGGGGGUGAUGCCAACUUGUCACGAGUCACAUCUAUGUACAUCUCAUAAAGGAAAUCUGUUAGCAGCCAAUACUUUUCACUGAACUCUGUGAGAUUUUCUUCUUUUAACUUUGAAGUCUUUUAAUUCUCAGAUGCUGUCCCCUGUAGCAGAUUGGUAAAUAAGCAGCUCCAGGUUUUCUAGGCUGAUCUCUUUGAGGUACAGCACUCAGGGUAGAGCGUUUGUACAAAAGAGAACAUCUUUGUUUUGCUUUCUGAUUUAUGGUAGUCCUUGCAAGCCAAAUUCUACUUAGGUUAGAGAGGUAUGGUGGAGAAAAUUGCUGAAGAAGGCAGCCUUUCGGGACAAGUUAGAAAUAAAUAUUUCAUAUAAAUGUUAAUGUUUGUUCUUGCCUCAACUGUGAAAUGGGUGUGAUUGUCCCAUAAUUUAGAGAGAAUAAAAUUAAAUAGGUUGAAAAAGGUACAUACGCAUACUAUAGACUUUGCUUGCAGCUGCAGCAGGCACUGAAGGAUCUUUAUAGACCUUUGUUCAGUCCUUUAGGCCCAACUGGCUCUGUCUGAAAGUGGCUGCGGUCAGAUCCAUCAAAGCAGCUUGCAGGAAACCCCACAAUAAUUCCUGCCUCAAAGGAAUAAUAUUUCUUUCAGCUUCCCCUUCUGGUUAGAGGCUGGUUUGCAUUAUGGUACAUCAGCAGGUACAGGGAACACUGUGUAUUUAAACUAUCUUUGAUCUCUCCCAUUGAUCUCAGUUUAAAUCGGUGUAGUGACAGCAAGAAGUGAGGCUGUUGUGGUUUUUUGUUUGUUUUUGUGUUUUAACUUCUUUUAAUGCUCUAUGUGAGUUGUUUGGUGAUGGGGGCAUGGACUAAUUGGCCAAAAAAAUAGUAGCAGACCUGACAAAUCAGUUUAUUGCUAUCUGGAGUGGCAUUAUGGCUCUGAACACUGAAAGGCAGCUCUCUGAAUCACUGUCAGGUUGCUGCAGUAGAGAAGCUACUUACUAGGGCAAAACAGUAGUUCAUUGUAAUGCCUGGGUAGACUUUAUUUAGAGACCUGAGAGUCUCAUUUCAUGUACAGCAACAUUUCAAGGGGUAAAAAGACUACAUUUAUAUGGCUAUUUUAUUAAAAUUUAUGCUGGCAUUGCAGUGUUGGAGCUCCAGUGGAAGCUGAGUUAGCUCUUUCAUUCAAAGUCAUGGUUCAGGCUGCUCAUAACUUAGUAAAAAAUUACCUCUGAAGAAGAGGUUUCUUGUUCUGGAUCUCAGCCUGCCUUGUUCUUUUAAGUGCUUCAGGACUGCUCUGUGCUAUCAUGUGUUUUCAGGAGAUGGAAGAAAGUGUUUUGCUGGUGAGGCUUUCCUUGUAUUUAAGGCUUGAUCCUAUUUUAUUUUCCUUAGCUAUCGCAGAGAUUUGGGCUGGGGCUUUUGCUCCUCCUGUAGGGAAGAGUGACUCUCUGCCCAGAAAGGGCAG